GGGGACGUGGCGGAAUUGGCAGACGCGCAUGACUUAGGAUCAUGUGCCGUAAGGCGUGCGGGUUCAACUCCCGCCGUCCCCACCA
rnacentral:tRNA from 1 species